rnacentral:rRNA from 1 species
CGCUGGCGGCGUGCCUAAUACAUGCAAGUCGCGCGAGAAAGUGGUAGCAAUACCAUGAGUAGAGCGGCAAACGGGUGAGUAACACGUAAGUAACCUCCCUCUAAAUCUGGAAUAACCUGCCAACGCGAGGCUAAUACCGGAUAUGGCCACAGAUUCGCAUGGAACUGUGAUCAAAGAUGACCUCUAUUUAUAAGUUAUCGUUUAGAGAUGGACUUGCGCACUAUUAGCUAGUUGGUGAGGUAACGGCUCACCAAGGCUGUGAUGGUUAGCCGGCCUGAGAGGGUGUACGGCCACAUUGGGACUGAGAUACGGCCCAGACUCCUACGGGAGGCAGCAGUAGGGAAUUUUGCGCAAUGGACGAAAGUCUGACGCAGCAACGCCGCGUGAAACGAUGAAGGUCUUCGGAUUGUAAAGUUCUGUUGAGUGGGAAGAACGGUCUCGGGAAUAAUACCCUGGGACGUGACGGUACCAUUCGAGUAAGCACCGGCUAACUACGUGCCAGCCGCAGC